UGGCGAACGGGUGAGUAAUAUAUCGGAACGUGCCCAGUCGUGGGGGAUAACGUAGAGAAAUUUACGCUAAUACCGCAUACGAUCUAAGGAUGAAAGCGGGGGACCGUAAGGCCUCGCGCGAUUGGAGCGGCUGAUAUCAGAUUAGGUUGUUGGUGAGGUAAAAGCUCACCAAGCCGACGAUCUGUAGCUGGUUUGAGAGAACGACCAGCCACACUGGAACUGAGACACGGUCCAGACUCCUACGGGAGGCAGCAGUGGGGAAUUUUGGACAAUGGGCGAAAGCCUGAUCCAGCAAUGCCGCGUGCAGGAUGAAGGCCUUCGGGUUGUAAACUGCUUUUGUACGGAACGAAACGGUUGCCCCUAAUACGGGUGGCUAAUGACGGUACCGUAAGAAUAAGCACCGGCUAACUACGUGCCAGCAGCCGCGGUAAUACGUAGGGUGCGAGCGUUAAUCGGAAUUACUGGGCGUAAAGCGUGCGCAGGCGGUUAUAUAAGACAGAUGUGAAAUCCCCGGGCUCAACCUGGGACCUGCAUAUGU
rnacentral:rRNA from 1 species